UAUAUCAAAACCAGAGUCUUCUUGAAGUGAAUGAGUCGAUGAUUAAGCGCUGACUUAAUGUUAUAAUACAAAACAACUUAUUCAGGGUUUGAGAUAUUGGCGUAAUCUUGCAACCAGCUUCUGAGCCAAGAGGGUCAUGAAUUUUCUGGCAGAAGGUUAAACGACUGAAUACUGCAUUUUCUGAUCAUUCAAUUUCUAGAACCUAUGAGCAGUGCCAGAAAGUUUCUGGAAGAACUUCAUCUUGGUGUAAAAUAAGACGAUCCGCCAACCACGAACUCCCACUUAUCAAUGGAACUAUGUUUGUAGAAGGGUUAUUAUCCUGUACACUCUGUAUCAAACAUUUUAUACAAGCUAGAAGCAUUGCCAGAAGAUUCUAGAAGAACUCAUCUUCGAGUAUUAUAAGACAAUCAACCAUCCACGAAUUUCCACCUAUUUUGCACUUAAAGCACUGCAAUUCGUAGCUAAGAGAUGAAACAUAAGAGAUGUAGUUCUAGAGAAAAGCCAAAAAUUGGAUCAAGAAACAGACUUGUGGAAAAAUAUCAAAUCUUUUGAAUGGUAUACUGCAACUUCGGACAUAAUUAACGUAUAUCGUUUCUUAGGUUGACUCCUUUCCCUAGAGCCGAUCUCAUAGCCAACAAACUUUGUGAAUUAAAAGAAGUUAUGUGGUGAGUAAAACAGGUAUAGACCAAUUACAUUGACAAUGUUGUCUUUCCCUUGACAGCGUGAUAUCCCAACCAUUGCAUGUAUGCGCCCACUCAUGUACACAUGCAUAUAUUCAUUUUUGCAUACAUAGAUACAUACAUAUACACAUACAUACAUACAUUCAUACAGGGGCGGACCCAGCAAAAAAAGUUGGUGGGGGCAAAAUGUUAUAGGGAUGAAUCGAACAUGGGUUUCUAGCGAAAAUUUGAAGGAUAUGAAACCAUUUGGCCAUGCCACUUAAUUUGUUUAGUACUAAUUUUUUGUUAAUUUAGAUAUUAGUGGUGGCAGGUGCCUCCACCUUCCUUAACGUGGAUCCGCCAAU